rnacentral:rRNA from 1 species
GUGCCAGCAGCCGCGGUAAUACGGAGGGUGCAAGCGUUAUCCGGAAUUACUGGGUUUAAAGGGUGCGUAGGCGGCCUUAUAAGUCAGUGGUGAAAGUUUGCCGCUUAACGGUAAAAUUGCCAUUGAUACUGUAGGGCUUGAAUUAGGAUGAGGUUAGCGGAAUGAGACAUGUAGCGGUGAAAUGCAUAGAUAUGUCUUAGAACACCGAUUGCGAAGGCAGCUAACUAGACCUUAAUUGACGCUGAGGCACGAAAGCGUGGGUAGCGAACAGGAUUAGAUACCCUGGUAGUCCACGCCCUAAACGAUGUCUACUAGUUGUCGGUCCUUCAUUGGAUUGGUAACGCAGCUAACGCGUGAAGUAGACCGCCUGGGGAGUACGGUCGCAAGAUUAAAACUCAAAGGAAUUGACGGGGA